rnacentral:rRNA from 1 species
UGGGGAAUUUUGGACAAUGGGCGCAAGCCUGAUCCAGCCAUGCCGCGUGAGUGAAGAAGGCCUUCGGGUUGUAAAGCUCUUUCGGACGGGAAGAAGUGGCGGGCUCUAACAUAGCCUGUCGAUGACGGUACCGUAAGAAGAAGCACCGGCUAACUACGUGCCAGCAGCCGCGGUAAUACGUAGGGUGCGAGCGUUAAUCGGAGUUACUGGGCGUAAAGCGUGCGCAGGCGGUUUUCUAAGUUCGGUGUGAAAUCUCCCGGCUUAACUGGGAGGGUGCGCCGAAGACUGGGAAGCUGGAGUGUGGGAAAGGCAGGCGGAAUUCCUGGUGUAGCGGUGAAAUGCGUAGAUAUCAGGAGGAACACCGGCGGUGUAGACGGCUUGCUAGACCAUAACUGACGCUGAGGCACGAAAGCGUGGGUAGCAAACA